rnacentral:rRNA from 1 species
AUGUGGAGGCCCUCCAUGAGCUCCUCCAGCGACAGGUUGCCGUUCUUGUCCUUGUCCAUGAGGUGGAACAUCUGCACGUACUUGUCCAGCUCCUCCACCGGCAUGUUCCGCGCCACCACGCCCAGCGCCUUCUUCUUGAACUUGUUCAUCGCCGAGAACUGCUGCAGCCGAGACCGCACCGCCUCGCCCAGCGACACGUUCGGCGCCGUGUCCGCGUUCUUCAGCCACGGAACUUGCGAGGCCGUGAGCCGGGUGGCGGGGUCGGGGUCGAGCAUCUGCCUGAUGAGGUCCUUGGGGUUGCCGGACACCCUGGGCCAGGGCUCCCGGUUGAAGUCGAGGCCGCCGCGGAUAAUGGCCUGCGCGAUCUUCUCGUCGUUGUCCCCCCAGAAGGGCGGCACACCGCAGAGGAGGAUGUAG